AGAGUUUGAUCCUGGCUCAGAUUGAACGCUGGCGGCAUGCCUUACACAUGCAAGUCGAACGGCAGCACGGGUGCUUGCACCUGGUGGCGAGUGGCGAACGGGUGAGUAAUAUAUCGGAACGUACCUUAUCGUGGGGGAUAACGCAGCGAAAGCUGCGCUAAUACCGCAUACGCCCUGAGGGGGAAAGCGGGGGACCGUAAGGCCUCGCGCGAUUAGAGCGGCCGAUAUCUGAUUAGCUUGUUGGUGGGGUAAAAGCCCACCAAGGCGACGAUCAGUAGCUGGUCUGAGAGGACGAUCAGCCACACUGGGACUGAGACACGGCCCAGACUCCUACGGGAGGCAGCAGUGGGGAAUUUUGGACAAUGGGGGCAACCCUGAUCCAGCAAUGCCGCGUGAGUGAAGAAGGCCUUCGGGUUGUAAAGCUCUUUUGUCAGGGAAGAAACAGCAGCUCUAACACAGUCUGCGAAUGACGGUACCUGAAGAAUAAGCACCGGCUAACUACGUGCCAGCAGCCGCGGUAAUACGUAGGGUGCAAGCGUUAAUCGGAAUUACUGAGCGUAAAGCGUGCGCAGGCGGUUAUACAAGACAGGCGUGANAUCCCCGGG
rnacentral:rRNA from 1 species